rnacentral:tRNA from 1 species
GCCCCCAUAGCCCAAUUGGCAGGGCAGAGGCACGACUUAAAAUCCGUCAAGUGUCGGUUCGAGUCCGACUGGGGGCA